GAACAUGUUCAAUUGUCUAAAUCGGAGAUUAUACGAAUGAGUUAUGAUGAAAACAUGAAAGGGUGCCGGAACUGCCAAUGCACCUUUUCAUGUAACAUGGAACCGUUCGUGACCAAUGCAACUCAAUGCACGAAAAUUUUGGUGAAAGAAGAUUAAAUCCAAGAAAAAUGAUGGAAUCAUACCCCAAAUAGAUGAGGUAUUAUAUUAUUCUCGAUUCAUGAAUAUUAUUUAAUAUUUUAUGGUUCCAUUGUAGGUGCAUUUUUACACAGCACACAUGCUUCAACUUGGAGGCUUAAUUUGAUCACGAUCCAGUUCGAAUCUAGAAAAAUGUAGAAGACAAAAGUUGUAGGAAAUUUUGUUGGCUAUUCGGAUCAUAUUGAAUCAACAAAAUUGGACAUCCGAUGCUAAAUAUAUGAAUAUAGUCGCCAUUGCUGCCAAAACUGCAUAAAGCAUUCCUUUAUGAGAGAAUUUAGAUGCGCGAUGAAUUUAUCAUUUGAUCGGUUACGCCUUUUUAUUUAAUUUUUUGUAUCGUGAAUUAGGUGGUAAUAUUAUAUAUAUUAGAUAUAAAUAUGAUUAUAUAUGAUAAGGUUAUGGCG
rnacentral:lncRNA from 1 species